AACACCAGUGGGCCUGCCUUUAACUUGCAAGUCGAACGGUUAAGGCCCCUUCGGGGGUACACGAGUGGCGAACGGGUGAGUAACACGUGGGUAAUCUGCCCUGCACUUCGGGAUAAGCCUGGGAAACCGGGUCUAAUACCGGAUAUGAACUCCUGCCGCAUGGUGGGGGUUGGAAAGUUUUUCGGUGCAGGAUGAGCCCGCGGCCUAUCAGCUUGUUGGUGGGGUAAUGGCCUACCAAGGCGACGACGGGUAGCCGGCCUGAGAGGGUGAUCGGCCACACUGGGACUGAGACACGGCCCAGACUCCUACGGGAGGCAGCAGUGGGGAAUAUUGCACAAUGGGCGAAAGCCUGAUGCAGCGACGCCGCGUGGGGGAUGACGGUCUUCGGAUUGUAAACCCCUUUCAGUAGGGACGAAGCGCAAGUGACGGUACCUGCAGAAGAAGCACCGGCUAACUACGUGCCAGCAGCCGCGGUAAUACGUAGGGUGCGAGCGUUGUCCGGAAUUACUGGGCGUAAAGAGCUCGUAGGCGGUUUGUCACGUCGUCUGUGAAAUCCCUCGGCUUAACCGGGGGCGUGCAGGCGAUACGGGCAGACUUGAGUACUACAGGGGAGACUGGAAUUCCUGGUGUAGCGGUGAAAUGCGCAGAUAUCAGGAGGAACACCGGUGGCGAAGGCGGGUCUCUGGGUAGUAACUGACGCUGAGGAGCGAAAGCAUGGGUAGCGAACAGGAUUAGAUACCCUGGUAGUCCAUGCCGUAAACGGUGGGCGCUAGGUGUGGGGGUCCUUCCACGGACUCCGUGCCGUAGCUAACGCAUUAAGCGCCCCGCCUGGGGAGUACGG
rnacentral:rRNA from 1 species